rnacentral:rRNA from 1 species
AAUUUAAAGUUAAUAAAGACCCUGAUAGAAUAAAUUAAAGGGCUGCAGUAUAUUGACUGUACAAAGGUAGCAUAAUCAUUAGUCUUUUAAUUGAAGACUUGUAUGAAAGAUUUGAUGAAAUAUAAACUGUCUCUAAUUUAUUAAUAGAAUUUAAUUUUUUAGUUAAAAAGCUAAAAUAAUAUUAAAAGACGAGAAGACCCUAUAGAGUUUUAUACUUAUUUUAAAUAUAAUAAAAUAUAUAAUUAAUUAUUAAAUUUAAAAUAAGUAUUAUAUUGGGGUGAUAAAAAAAUUAAAAAAACUUUUUUUAAAAUAAAAACAUAAAUAAAUGAAUUUAUGAUCCAUAAUUAAUGAUUAAAAGAAAAAAUUACCUUAGGGAUAACAGCGUAAUAUUUUUUUUUAGUACAAAUAAAAAAAAAAGUUUGCGACCUCGAUGUUGGAUUAAGAUAAAAUUUAAAUGCAAAAGUUUAAAAUUUUGAUCUGUUCGAUCAUUAAAAUCUUACAUG